GUGAACGCUGGCGGCGUGCCUAAUACAUGCAAGUCGAGCGAACGGACGAGAAGCUUGCUUCUCUGAUGUUAGCGGCGGACGGGUGAGUAACACGUGGAUAACCUACCUAUAGGACUGGGAUAACUUCGGGAAACCGGAGCUAAUACCGGAUGAUAUUUUGAACCGCAUGGUUCAAAAGUGAAAGACGGUCUUGCUGUCACUUAUAGAUGGAUCCGCGCUGCAUUAGCUAGUUGGUAAGGUAACGGCUUACCAAGGCAACGAUGCAUAGCCGACCUGAGAGGGUGAUCGGCCACACUGGAACUGAGACACGGUCCAGACUCCUACGGGAGGCAGCAGUAGGGAAUCUUCCGCAAUGGGCGAAAGCCUGACGGAGCAACGCCGCGUGAGUGAUGAAGGUCUUCGGAUCGUAAAACUCUGUUAUUAGGGAAGAACAUAUGUGUAAGUAACUGUGCACAUCUUGACGGUACCUAAUCAGAAAGCCACGGCUAACUACGUG
rnacentral:rRNA from 1 species